UACGUAGGUGACAAGCGUUGUCCGGAUUUACUGGGCGUAAAGAGCGCGCAGGCGGUCGUUCAAGUCGAGUGUGAAAGCCCCCGGCUCAACUGGGGAGGGUCACUCGAUACUGAUCGACUCGAAGGCAGGAGAGGGUAGUGGAAUUCCCGGUGUAGUGGUGAAAUGCGUAGAUAUCAGGAAGAACACCCGUGGCGAAAGCGGCUCUCUGGAACGGUACUGACGCUGAGACGCGAAAGCGUGGGGAGCGAACAAG
rnacentral:rRNA from 1 species